AUUGAACGCUGGCGGUAUGCUUAACACAUGCAAGUCGAACGAUGAGAAAGAGCUUGCUCUUUCGAUUAGUGGCGGACGGGUGCGUAACGCGUAGGAAUCUACCUAUUAGUGGGGGACAACUUAGGGAAACUUAAGCUAAUACCGCAUACGCCCUACGGGGGAAAGAAGGGGAUCGCAAGACCUUUUGCUAAUAGAUGAGCCUGCGUAGGAUUAGCUAGUUGGUGGGGUAAAAGCUCACCAAGGCGACGAUCCUUAACUGGUUUGAGAGAAUGAUCAGUCACACUGGAACUGAGACACGGUCCAGACUCCUACGGGAGGCAGCAGUGGGGAAUAUUGGACAAUGGGCGAAAGCCUGAUCCAGCAAUACCGCGUGUGUGAAGAAGGCCUUAGGGUUGUAAAGCACUUUCAAUUGGAAGGAAAACCUCGAAGCUAAUACCUUCGAGUUUGACAUUACCUUUAGAAGAAGCACCGGCUAACUCCGUGCCAGCAGCCGCGGUAAGAC
rnacentral:rRNA from 1 species